rnacentral:rRNA from 1 species
UACAGAGGGGGCAAGCGUUGUUCGGAAUUACUGGGCGUAAAGGGCGCGUAGGCGCCUUCUAAGUCGAACGUGAAAUCCCCGGGCUCAACCCGGGAACUGCGUCCGAGACUGGAAGGCUUGAAUCCGGGAGAGGGAUGUGGAAUUCCAGGUGUAGCGGUGAAAUGCGUAGAUAUCUGGAGGAACACCGGUGGCGAAGGCGGCAUCCUGGACCGGCAUUGACGCUGAGGCGCGAAAGCCAGGGGAGCAAACAGG